GAGUUUGAUCCUGGCUCAGAACGAACGCUGGCGGCGUGCCUAACACAUGCAAGUCGAACGGAGUUGAGGGGCUUGCUCCUCAAUUUAGUGGCGCACGGGUGAGUAACGCGUAGAUAAUYUGCCUGAUGAUCCGGGAUAACAUUUYGAAAGGGGUGCUAAUACCGGAUAAGCCCACGGGAUCCUCGGAUUCUGCGGGAAAAGGUGGCCUCUAUUUAUAAGCUACCGUAUCAGGAUGAGUCCGCGUACCAUUAGYUAGUUGGUGGGGUAAUGGCCCMCCAAGGCUACGAUGGUUAGCUGGUCUGAGAGGAUGAUCAGCCACACUGGAACUGAGACACGGUCCAGACUCCUWCGGGAGGCAGCAGUGGGGAAUUUUGCGCAAUGGGSGAAAGCCUGACGCAGCAACGCCGCGUGAGUGAUGAAGGCCUUCGGGUCGUAAAGCUCUGUCAGAGGGGAAGAACCUCCUGGGGGAUAAUAACCCCCAGGCCUGACGGUACCCUCAAAGGAAGCACCGGCUAACUCCGUGCCAGCAGCCGCGGUAAUAC
rnacentral:rRNA from 1 species